UACAGAGGGUGCGAGCGUUGUCCGGAAUUAUUGGGCGUAAAGGGCUCGUAGGCGGUUUGUCGCGUCGGGAGUGAAAUCCACUGGCUUAACUGGUGGCUUGCUUUCGAUACGGGCAGACUGGAGGUAUGCAGGGGGAGAACGGAAUUCCUGGUGUAGCGGUGAAAUGCGCAGAUAUCAGGAGGAACACCGGUGCGGAAGGCGGUCUCUGGCGAUGGUCCUG
rnacentral:rRNA from 1 species